rnacentral:rRNA from 1 species
UACAGAGGUCUCAAGCGUUGUUCGGAUUCAUUGGGCGUAAAGGGUGUGUAGGUGGCGCCGUAAGUCGGGUGUGAAAUUUCGGAGCUUAACUCCGAAACUGCAUUCGAUACUGCGGUGCUUGAGGACUGGAGAGGAGACUGGAAUUCAUGGUGUAGCAGUGAAAUGCGUAGAGAUCAUGAGGAAGACCAGUGGCGAAGGCGGGUCUCUGGGCCGAUACUGACACUGAGGAGCGAAAGCGUGGGGAGCGAACAGG